GUCAAGGUGCCAGAGUGGUUAAUGGGCUGCCCUGCUAUCAAACUAUUGAUUCCAGAACAGGCAGUGGCUUCGGUCGCGCAGGUUCGAAUCCUGUCCUUGACG
rnacentral:tRNA from 1 species